rnacentral:rRNA from 1 species
GAUUAAGCCAUGCAUGUCUAAGUAUAAGCAAUCUAUACGGUGAAACUGCGAAUGGCUCAUUAAAUCAGUUAUCGUUUAUUUGAUAGUACCUUACUACUUGGAUAACCGUGGUAAUUCUAGAGCUAAUACAUGCUAAAAACCCCGACUUCGGAAGGGGUGUAUUUAUUAGAUAAAAAACCAAUGCCCUUCGGGGCUCCUUGGUGAUUCAUAAUAACUUAACGAAUCGCAUGGCCUUGUGCCGGCGAUGGUUCAUUCAAAUUUCUGCCCUAUCAACUUUCGAUGGUAGGAUAGUGGCCUACCAUGGUUUCAACGGGUAACGGGGAAUUAGGGUUCUAUUCCGGAGAGGGAGCCUGAGAAACGGCUACCACAUCCAAGGAAGGCAGCAGGCGCGCAAAUUACCCAAUCCCGACACGGGGAGGUAGUGACAAUAAAUACUGAUACAGGGCUCUUUUGGGUCUUGUAAUUGGAAUGAGUACAAUUUAAAUCCCUUAACGAGGAACAAUUGGAGGGCAAGUCUGGU